rnacentral:lncRNA from 1 species
CACAAACCUGCAAAUGCCAGGAAGUUAUUAACACAUAGGACAGCCCUUGAACAAUCAAACCUAUAACCAGUAGCAACUGCAUACAUCUUUUUGUGGAAAAAUGUAAUCUAAAAAAUAAAGAGGAAAACCAGCAAACAAACCAAAACACAGAAGACAUUGCUGAGGACUCAAGAUGAUGGAGGAGUAGCAGGCUGAGAUGACAUUAGGUAUCAAGAUAUCAGCUAGAUAGUUUAUUAAACCAUUCUGAACACCUACAAAUCC